rnacentral:rRNA from 1 species
CGAACGCUGGCGGCGUGCCUAAUACAUGCAAGUAGAACGCUGAAGAGAGGAGCUUGCUCUUCUUGGAUGAGUUGCGAACGGGUGAGUAACGCGUAGGUAACCUGCCUUGUAGCGGGGGAUAACUAUUGGAAACGAUAGCUAAUACCGCAUAACAAUGGAUGACACAUGUCAUUUAUUUGAAAGGGGCAAUUGUUCCACUACAAGAUGGACCUGCGUUGUAUUAGCUAGUAGGUGAGGUAAUGGCUCACCUAGGCGACGAUACAUAGCCGACCUGAGAGGGUGAUCGGCCACACUGGGACUGAGACACGGCCCAGACUCCUACGGGAGGCAGCAGUAGGGAAUCUUCGGCAAUGGGGGCAACCCUGACCGAGCAACGCCGCGUGAGUGAAGAAGGUUUUCGGAUCGUAAAGCUCUGUUGUAAGUCAAGAACGGGUGUGAGAGUGGAAAGUUCACACUGUGACGGUAGCUUACCAGAAAGGGACGGCUAACUACGUGCCAGCAGCCGCGGUAAUACGUAGGUCCCGAGCGUUGUCCGGAUUUAUUGGGCGUAAAGCGAGCGCAGGCGGUUUGAUAAGUCUGAAGUUAAAGGCUGUGGCUCAACCAUAGUUCGCUUUGGAAACUGUCAAACUUGAGUGCAGAAGGGGAGAGUGGAAUUCCAUGUGUAGCGGUGAAAUGCGUAGAUAUAUGGAGGAACACCGGUGGCGAAAGCGGCUCUCUGGUCUGUAACUGACGCUGAGGCUCGAAAGCGUGGGGAGCGAACAGGAUUAGAUACCCUGGUAGUCCACGCCGUAAACGAUGAGUGCUAGGUGUUGGAUCCUUUCCGGGAUUCAGUGCCGCAGCUAACGCAUUAAGCACUCCGCCUGGGGAGUACGACCGCAAGGUUGAAACUCAAAGGAAUUGACGGGGGCCCGCACAAGCGGUGGAGCAUGUGGUUUAAUUCGAAGCAACGCGAAGAACCUUACCAGGUCUUGACAUCCCGAUGCUAUUUCUAGAGAUAGAAAGUUACUUCGGUACAUCGGUGACAGGUGGUGCAUGGUUGUCGUCAGCUCGUGUCGUGAGAUGUUGGGUUAAGUCCCGCAACGAGCGCAACCCCUAUUGUUAGUUGCCAUCAUUCAGUUGGGCACUCUAGCGAGACUGCCGGUAAUAAACCGGAGGAAGGUGGGGAUGACGUCAAAUCAUCAUGCCCCUUAUGACCUGGGCUACACACGUGCUACAAUGGUUGGUACAACGAGUUGCGAGUCGGUGACGGCGAGCUAAUCUCUUAAAGCCAAUCUCAGUUCGGAUUGUAGGCUGCAACUCGCCUACAUGAAGUCGGAAUCGCUAGUAAUCGCGGAUCAGCACGCCGCGGUGAAUACGUUCCCGGGCCUUGUACACACCGCCCGUCACACCACGAGAGUUUGUAACACCCGAAGUCGGUAAGGUAACCUUUUGGAGCCAGCCGCCUAAGGUGGGACAGC